rnacentral:rRNA from 1 species
UGGGGAAUAUUGCACAAUGGGCGCAAGCCUGAUGCAGCAAUGCCGCGUGAGUGAAGACGGCCUUAGGGUUGUAAAACUCUUUCGCUAGGGAAGAUAAUGACGGUACCUAGUAAAGAAACCCCGGCUAACUCCGUGCCAGCAGCCGCGGUAAUACGGAGGGGGUUAGCGUUGUUCGGAAUUACUGGGCGUAAAGCGCACGUAGGCGGACCAGAAAGUUGGGGGUGAAAUCCCGGGGGCUCAACCCCGGAACUGCCUCCAAAACUAUUGGUCUAGAGUUCGAGAGAGGUGAGUGGAAUUCCGAGUGUAGAGGUGAAAUUCGUAGAUAUUUGGAGGAACACCAGUGGCGAAGGCGGCUCACUGGCUCGAUACUGACGCUGAGGUGCGAAAGUGUGGGGAGCAAACAGGAUUAGAUACCCUGGUAGUCCACACCGUAAACGAUGAAUGCCAGUCGUCGGGUAGCAUGCUAUUCGGUGACACACCUAACGGAUUAAGCAUUCCGCCUGGGGAGUACGGUCGC